AUACGGAGGGUGCGAGCGUUAAUCGGAAUUACUGGGCGUAAAGCGUACGUAGGCGGUUGGUUAAGUUAGAUGUGAAAGCCCCGGGCUUAACCUGGGAACUGCAUUUAAAACUGGCGAACUAGAGUUGAGUAGAGGGGAGUGGAAUUUCAGGUGUAGCGGUGAAAUGCGUAGAGAUCUGAAGGAACACCAGUGGCGAAGGCGGCUCCCUGGACUCAAACUGACGCUGAGGUACGAAAGCGUGGGUAGCAAACGGGAUUAGAAACCCUAGUAGUCC
rnacentral:rRNA from 1 species